rnacentral:misc_RNA from 1 species
GAUGAAGAAGCAGCGAAAUGCGAUAAGUAAUGUGAAUUGCAGAAUUCAGUGAAUCAUCGAAUCUUUGAACGCACAUUGCGCCCGCCAGUAUUCUGGCGGGCAUGCCUGUCUGAGCGUCAUUUCAACCCUCAUGCCCCUAGGGCGUGGUGUUGGGGAUCGGCCAAAGCCCGCGAGGGACGGCCGGCCCCUAAAUCUAGUGGCGGACCCGUCGUGGCCUCCUCUGCGAAGUAGUGAUAUUCCGCAUCGGAGAGCGAUGAGCCCCUGCCGUUAAACCCCCAACUUUCCAAGGUUGACCUCAGAUCAGGUAGGAAUACCCGCUGAACUUAAGCAUAUCAAUAAGCGGAGGA